GCAACCCGCCUGCGUGAAGUUGGAAUCGCUAGUAAUCGCGGAUCAGCAUGCCGCGGUGAAUACGUUCCCGGGCCUUGUACACACCGCCCGUCACACCAUGAGAGUCGGGAACACCCGAAGUCCGUAGCCUAACCGCAAGGGGGGCGCGGCCGAAGGUGGGUUCGAUAAUUGGGGUGAAGUCGUAACAAGGUAGC
rnacentral:rRNA from 1 species